GUCGAGCGAAUGGAUUAAGAGCUUGCUCUUAUGAAGUUAGCGGCGGACGGGUGAGUAACACGUGGGUAACCUACCCAUAAGACUGGGAUAACUCCGGGAAACCGGGGCUAAUACCGGAUAAUAUUUUGAACUGCAUAGUUCGAAAUUGAAAGGCGGCUUCGGCUGUCACUUAUGGAUGGACCCGCGUCGCAUUAGCUAGUUGGUGAGGUAACGGCUCACCAAGGCGACGAUGCGUAGCCGACCUGAGAGGGUGAUCGGCCACACUGGGACUGAGACACGGCCCAGACUCCUACGGGAGGCAGCAGUAGGGAAUCUUCCGCAAUGGACGAAAGUCUGACGGAGCAACGCCGCGUGAGUGAUGAAGGCUUUCGGGUCGUAAAACUCUGUUGUUAGGGAAGAACAAGUGCUAGUUGAAUAAGCUGGCACCUUGACGGUACCUAACCAGAAAGCCACGGCUAACUACGUGCCAGCAGCCGCGGUAAUACGUAGGUGGCAAGCGUUAUCCGGAAUUAUUGGGCGUAAAGCGCGCGCAGGUGGUUUCUUAAGUCUGAUGUGAAAGCCCACGGCUCAACCGUGGAGGGUCAUUGGAAACUGGGAGACUUGAGUGCAGAAGAGGAAAGUGGAAUUCCAUGUGUAGCGGUGAAAUGC
rnacentral:rRNA from 1 species